rnacentral:rRNA from 1 species
UACGGGGGGGGCAAGCGUUGUUCGGAAUUACUGGGCGUAAAGGGCUCGUAGGUGGCCAACUAAGUCAGACGUGAAAUCCCUCGGCUUAACCGGGGAACUGCGUCCGAUACUGGUUGGCUUGAAUCCGGGAGAGGGAUGUGGAAUUCCAGGUGUAGCGGUGAAAUGCGUAGAUAUCUGGAGGAACACCGGUGGCGAAGGCGACAUCCUGGACCGGUAUUGACGCUGAGGCGCGAAAGCCAGGGGAGCAAACGGG